CUGGGCUGGAAAUUGAGACGGCUUCCUAUUUGAAUGUGAUCCUGAUUACCUCAGCAGGGCCACCUGCUGCUUAGUGGCUGCUCCUUUUUUGUGUGUCAGCAGCCUCCAUUUGUAGUGUCUCCGGGGAGCACAACCUUGAGGGCAGGCCCAGCUGACACCAAUCUGGUGGAACACUGGUGGAACAAUCAGUCUAUCCCUUUCAAAAUAGGCUGCUUGUGAUCGAAUCCAGCGAUUCCAGCAUUGCUGCCACUCUUCAUAGCAGUGGAAGAAGAUUUUAUUCAAAGCCCUCAUCACAACUGCCUGGAUGUCUUCAACUGUCCUAAAAUGAUGCCCUUUAAGGUGGAUGCUGGGACAAAUAAUUACAUUUCUUGAUCUUUUCAUUACCAUUGCUUUCAUUUGCACUCUGGUGUCUUACCUUUUAACUUGACGUGGGGUUUUUUUUGUGUCUUUUUUCCUCUUUUCUUUACAAUUGGCAAGAAAAAUAAAUCACAAACAUAUAGUCCAUAAGCAAAAUCCAAAAAUUGGGUUGGGAUCCUUUUGAUUUUGACUUCCCCCCCCCCCUCCCAAUUUUAGUACUCUUUGCAAAAAAAGUUUCUGCAAUAUUUCUGCAGAUUAAAUAAAUCAUUACUUUUUGUUGGAAAAAGUUGUAUUUAUGGAAAUGUAUUUUUGCCAACAAAAUUUUGUGGAUUUUGUGAAAACAACAUUUUGUCUCCCAAGUCCCAAAACUUUUUUUAAUUAAAGAACUAAUCUCAUGAGGGCAGAAAUGAGACAUUCAAAGUUUUCAUUCUCAUCCUUUAGACAUCACUCAGCCUCUUCUUAAUGAAUUUGAAUAUGAAUUAAGAUGCAUGUCCCCUGUAGUGAACAAAUGUAUCCUUCCACAAUGAAAUUUCAUAAAUCAGAAUUUCAAAAUAAACCGGUGUUCACUUUCAAUGAUCAAUCACAAAACAAAGCAUUCUAAGCAUAAAAUACAUUGAUGAGGACAAAUAUGUGCUUUUAUAAGCAGAUGCCUCUAUCUACCGAAGGAAGCCUCUGCUUAUUGAAUGUACUUAGCAACCAGGUUUAUGAACUU